UGCUUUUUAUGGUUUUUGCAGUUUAAGUGGAGGACUUUCAUGCUCUGUUAACCCAGAGUUGAAGUGGUUUCCUCUUUGCAAAACAUGAAAAUGAUUUCUUCUUGCAAAGACUGUCAACCUCUUAGCACAAUUGACAAAGAGUAAGAAGUAUACGGAGCAAUUCUGUUAUCUCUUUGGGAUUUAGAACUUACUGAAGUUUUGGGAACAACUGAUAUUCCAAACUACUUUCGUGAGAAGAUUUUGUUAUGAAUGAAUAGCCGGGAUGCUUUCUUCUAUGCUUCAAAUAAUUAAAGUCAUAAUAUUUUGAUCAUCUUUUCUGUUCAUUGGAAGGAUGUGAGCUUGUUUUUCAUUUUCAGUUGAACAAUGCUUUAUUUUAUUAUUACAUCUGAAUAGGGUAACUCCCCGUAAAGUGUGCAUCAAUAAGUCUGCCAUGAUAUCAGCUUCAAUUUUAUAGUUAUGUUCGUUCUUGUAAUUUCAAAAGUAACUCAAGUUCAGAAACUCACGUAUUCUCAAAUUCUUUGUUGCAUUUUCUUAA